CCAGCAGCCGCGGUAAUACGUAGGUCUCAAGCGUUAUCCGGAUUUACUGGGCGUAAAGCGUCCGCAGGUGGUUUGACAAGUCAAAGGUUAAAGCCUGGAGCUCAACUCCAGUUCGCCUUCGAAACUGUUAGACUAGAGUGUGAUAGGGGGUAGUGGAAUUCGAUGUGUAGCGGUGGAAUGCAUAGAUAUAUCGAGGAACACCAGUGGCGAAGGCGGCUACCUGGGUCAUCACUGACACUCAUGGACGAAAGCGUGGGGAGCAAACAGGAUUAGAUACCCUGGUAGUCCACGCCGUAAACGAUCUGUAUUAGGUGUAGGGUCAAACCUGUGCCACAGCUAACGCAUUAAAUACAGCGCCUGGGUAGUAUGCACGCAAGUGUGAAACUCAAAGGAAUUGACGGGGACCCGCACAAGUGGUGGAGCAUGUGGAUUAAUUCGAUGCAACGCGAAGAACCUUACCAACGUUUGACAUCUUCUGCAAUGCUAUAGAGAUAUAGCGGAGGCUAACAGAAUGACAGGUGGUGCAUGGUUGUCGUCAGCUCGUGUCGUGAGAUGUUGGGUUAAGUCCCGCAACGAGCGCAACCCUCAUUUUUAGUUGCUAACAGGUUAAGCUGAGCACUCUAAAGAAACUGCUGGUGUUAAACCAGAGGAAGGUGGGGAUGACGUCAAGUCCUCAUGGCCCUUAUGCCUUGGGCUACACACGUGCUACAAUGGUAGUGACAACGAGUUGCAAGUUCGCAAGGAUGAGCUAAUCUUGAAAAGCUACCUCAGUUCGGAUUGUACUCUGAAACUCGAGUACAUGAAGUUGGAAUCGCUAGUAAUCGCAAAUCAGCAUGUUGCGGUGAAUACGUUCCCGGGUCUUGUACACACCGCCCGUCACACCAUGGGAGCUGAUUUUACCUUAAGCUGGUGCACCAACCGCAAGGAGGAAGCCAACCAAGGUAGGAUUAGUGACUGGGGUGAAGUCGGAACAAGGUAGCCGUAGGGGAACCUGCGGCUG
rnacentral:rRNA from 1 species